rnacentral:lncRNA from 1 species
UGGGUCCCCCUUUUAUAGACGGAGGAGGCAACGGACUGAUGGCGAUAUUUGUAACCGUCUGGUAGUGGGCUGCCCAUGGUCAGGGGAAUUUAUUGCGAAGGGUAGUGGAGUAGACCCGUGGCUAUUGCUAUGGCCUGCCACGUAGAGCCUGUUGCAGGUGGUGGAGCGGCGUCCGUUGCCGCUAGUUGUCAGGGAGUAGUGGAGUCGUGCAGCACCUGCCGCAGGGAGCGGAGCAGAAUCGUGGCCGUUGACACAGUCUGUCAGAGAGUAAUGGGUCC